rnacentral:rRNA from 1 species
AUUUUUAUAAGUAUAAUCUGCUCAAUGAAUUUUAAAUAGCCGCAAAUUUAACUGUGUUAAGGUAGCAUAAUCACUUACCUUUUAAUUAAAGGUUUGCAUGAAAGAUUGAACAAUUAAAUUUCUUUUUUAUAAGUAUUUGUUAAACCUAAAUUAAAAAUAAAAAUGUUUUUAUAAAAUAAAUAGACGAUAAGACCCUAUUGAACUUCACUUCAGUUUAGCUGGGGAAGCUAAUUAAAUAUAAUUUUAAUAAAUAUCUUUAAAAUAUAUUUCUAAUAAAAUUAACUUAAACAAGUUACCAUAGGGAUAACAGCGUGAUAUAAUUUUAAAGAUCAUAUUAAAAAUUAAGCUUACGACCUCGAUGUUGAAUUAGAAUUUCUUAAAGAUGCAAUAAUCUUAAAAGAAGGUCUGUUCGACCUUUAAAAUUCU